rnacentral:lncRNA from 1 species
AUAUUUAUGAAAUCAUAAUGUCAUCUAGGGGUCAUCCAUUCUGGAACCAGAACAGAAACCUCUGAGCCUGUCCGGGAUGUGAAGUCAACAUAUAUAAAGCCAGAACAUUCUAUCCUUGGCCCAGGUGAUGCUCUUGGAACACAGCAAGCAAACACAAGCACCCAAGUAGAAACCAGGGAACUCAAGGAUCUCCAAAUAAAAAAGGAGAGAAGGUCAGAAGAGAUGCCCAGUGGAAGGCCACAUGGUAGACAAGGUACUGCAAUUGA